rnacentral:rRNA from 1 species
AGCGAACGCUGGCGGCAGGCUUAACACAUGCAAGUCGAACGCAUCCUUCGGGGUGAGUGGCAGACGGGUGAGUAACACGUGGGAACGUACCCUUCGAUCUGGGAUAACUUCGGGAAACUGGAGCUAAUACCGGAUACGCCCUUUUGGGGAAAGGUUUACUGUCGAAGGAUCGGCCCGCGUCUGAUUAGCUAGUUGGUGGGGUAACGGCCUACCAAGGCGACGAUCAGUAGCUGGUCUGAGAUGAUGAUCAGCCACACUGGGACUGAGACACGGCCCAGACUCCUACGGGAGGCAGCAGUGGGGAAUAUUGGACAACGGGCGCAAGCCUGAUCCAGCCAUGCCGCGUGAGUGAUGAAGGCCUUAGGGUUGUAAAGCUCUUUUGUCCGGGACGAUAAUGACGGUACCGGAAGAAUAAGCCCCGGCUAACUUCAUG